AACGAACGCUGGCGGCAUGCCUAACACAUGCAAGUCGAACGAGACCUUCGGGUCUAGUGGCGCACGGGUGCGUAACGCGUGGGAACCUGCCCUUAGGUUCGGAAUAACUCCCCGAAAGGGGUGCUAAUACCGGAUAAUGUCUUCGGACCAAAGAUUUAUCGCCUUUGGAUGGGCCCGCGUUGGAUUAGCUAGUUGGUAGGGUAAAAGCCUACCAAGGCGACGAUCCAUAGCUGGUCUGAGAGGAUGAGCAGCCACACUGGGACUGAGACACGGCCCAGACUCCUACGGGAGGCAGCAGUGGGGAAUAUUGGAAAAUGGGCGAAAGCCUGAUCCAGCAAUGCCGCGUGAGUGAUGAAGGCCUUAGGGUUGUAAAGCUCGUUUACCCGGGAUGAUAAUGACAGUACCGGGAGAAUAAGCUCCGGCUAACUCCGUG
rnacentral:rRNA from 1 species